rnacentral:rRNA from 1 species
AUUGAACGCUGGCGGCAGGCCUAACACAUGCAAGUCGAGCGAGAGGCGGACGGGGGAGUAAUGUAUGGGGACUGCCCGAUAGAGGGGGGUAACUACUGGAAACGGUGGCUACUACCGCAUACUAUCGGAUAACCCAUAUGGGAUUAGCUAGUGGGUGAGGUAAUGGCUCACAUAGGCGACGCUCCCUAGCUGGUCUGAGAGGAUGAUGAGCCAAACGGGGAUUGGGACACGGCCCAGACUCCUACGGAGGCAGAAGUGGGGAACAUUGCACAAUGGGCGCAGUCCGGAUGCAGCCAUCCCGGGUGUAGGUAGAAGGCCUUAGGGUUGUAAGGUACUUUCAUCCGGGAGGCGUUACCGACAGAAGAAGCACCGGCUAACUCCGUGCCAGCAGCCGCGGUAAUUC